ensembl:lncRNA
UCUGCUCUCUGCUCUGACCUAUACCCAUGUGAGGCACCAAUAACACUGGGUGGGAUAUUCAGUCUGUUCCCCCUCUCCCUCCCCAGCCCUCUGCUUAGCUUGGCUCUUUCCUCCCCCCCUGCGCUGCUUUGCUUUGCUCCAAACUGUCCCCAUCUUCAAUGCUGCCACUCCGGCAGCUCCAAAUUCCCCAGCACCUGUAAGCUUAGAAUUUAUGCUUUAUUUUCUUUUUUUUAAUCCUGGUGUCCAACCUGUGGAAGACAUGGGUAAAGAGAGAAGACUGUGAUAACUAAAUGGACCUGCAAUAAUUUACUGACUGGGAUGCUUUUUUUGACUUGAAAACUUGAUACUGAUUCACUGAAGCUGUCACCAGUCAGUCCUGCAUGAGGAGGCUUUGCCCCCAGCUUGGAGGAUCCUACCUGAAGUAGACUCCACAUCACCAUGGCUGAAGGAGCUAAAUCCGCCUCCCACCCUGCAGCCGCUGCAUCCAAUGGAGCAGCGGCCCAAAGCUCCCUCAGAUCCAAAGGUCUGGGGCUGCUCAGGAAGCUGAAAAUGUCUGUGGAGCUGCUCUUUGCUCUGGCUGCUCUGCUGUCCUGGGUGGUUGUAGGUGUGGUGAUGUUUGACUUUGUGGAGUACAAGGCAGUCCCAGAUGUUCAGCAAAUCAUUACGGAUCCUGUUCAAGCUGUAAACGAUGCUGUUGAUGAAGUGACCAGUCUGUUUAAUAAAUUUCAAGAAUGUGCACCUGAUUUGAGCGACCCCAUGUCUGCUGCCACGUACGCAGCUGAGGAAAUAUCGGUGGCAAAAGAUGGAAUUGUUCGAUACUUUUCAGACGAGGAAGGGACCUUCUACCUCAGCUACGUCGACCCUGUGGUCAUUGGUAGACGAGCCUUCCAUUCAACCAAUGACUUCAUGUGUGGAGUGGUGGGCCCCUUCAGGGACACACUCUCUGCUGCUGUGGAUACCAUAUUAGAUACCAUAACAGAUAUAAAUAAAGGAAAAAUUGAUCUUAGCUACAUUGACCCUGUUGUAGUAGGCAGAGGUGUCUUUAGUGUUACUAAUGAGCUCAUGAACGGACUAACAGCCUACAUCCAGGAUGCACUCUGUUACAUGAUGGACACUACACUGGAUGUAGUGAAAGGAACCACUGACGUUAGCUUCAUGGACCCCGUGGUCAUUGGCAGAAAUGUCUUCACUAUUACAAAUGACACCGUCAGUGGACUAGUGGGCUAUAUCCAGGACUUACUCUGUGCCAUCCUAGACACUAUCCUGGAUAUAACUAAAGGACAAACUGACGUUAGCUUCAUUGACCCUGUGGUUGUUGGCAGAAAAGCCUUCAGUGUUAUUAAUGACUUUGUGAGUGGAAUAGCUGAAUACAUCCAGGAUGUGCUCUGUGCCAUCUUGGAUGUUAUACUCGAUGCAUUAAAAGAUAUCGAGGAAGCUGUGGGCUUCAGUCCCAUGUCUGUUCUGAAGACAGCAGCAGAAAUCACCAAAGAACACACAAACAUGCUUGUGAGCUACGUCUCCUCAACACUGAUUGGGGAACAAGGGAUCGUACCUGAAGUCUCCAUUGACCCCAUGAAAGUUGUUGAAGACGCUGUGCUGGAGUUCACAGACAAGAAAGAUCUGUUCAUGGCUUACAUGUCAAGCAUGCUUGUUGGUGACCAAGAUGAAAGUGCAGCUUCCCCAGCUGAUAUCAAUCUUGUAAGAAGAAAAGGGGAAUUUCUGCCACCUUUAGAAAAAGUUGCAGAGACCUUGCAUGAAGUAGAUGAAGCUGCUCAGACAAAAACUGAAGAGGUGGAGGCAGAAGCUCCCUUUGAAGUUGCCAGUGAAGCACAGGCAGAGGAAGAGGAAGUGAAACAUGUCCACCUUGAAGAAAAAGAACCUGAACCAUCACUGAAAGAAGUGGAAAUCAUUGAAGAGGAGGAAGAGGAGGAGCAGGAGGGAAAGGGCAAAGAGGUUGUUGAGGAGGAAGAAGAAGAGAAGGAGGAAGGUGUAGAGCAAUUGGAGAAAAAGGAAGAAGAGGUUGGGGAGGCAGAAGAGGGUGAUGGUACAGAGGAACCCAUAGACAUUAAGAUAGAGGAGGCUGUGGUAGAAGAGGAGGAGGAGGUGGAGGAGG